CGACAUAGCAACAGCCACGCCAUCUUUGGAGCGCCACUAGAACUGUAUGAUUCGGUUUAGCAAUUGUGACGCUUACGGCUCUUUUAAAACUUGCAGAAUCAACAAAUUGCUGCCUUACUGAUGAUGGUACAACAACUACUGGCUGCACAAGCUAUGUCGGCUGCACAACCAACCGACCAGUACAACAAGUGCUGCCAACCAGCAUACCAAUGUUCUGGCAAUUUAAUGAAACAGAAGAAGAAUGGCUCAAAUACCUGGCUCAGUUCCAAGCACAUUGUCAAGUUCAUUAUGUUGAAGAGUGGUACCAGAGUGGUAACUGAGCCCCACACGGCAUGAUGUGCAUUGAAGUCACUCAAUGGAGGAGAGCCCAGAUCUCUGUCAGCGCAUCUCCAUCCAACGGAUUGUGAAGUGUGUGACAGGUCAGAUUAAUGGCUCGAGAUAGCUGAUUUGCUCAGCUCUGGGAGUUCCUGCUGGUGAAUUACUGUCUAGUGGUUCCCAUUGUGAAUGACUGAAUUGUUAGGGAGGGAGAUCUGGCUGUGUAAUAGCAUGAAGAGAGGUGUUAAAUAAUUUGUUGGAUGACAGAAAUAUUUCAUCGUGAGGACUGUACUGAUAUCAAGCCCUUAUUGUUGAUAUGUGAUUGGAUUUACUGCCAAAUACUGAUCUAGAUUAUUCCAUACUUUCUAACUAGUGAUUCCUGUUUAGCAAGUUCAGAGAUAAUUGAGUGUUGCUGUGUUCUUGUAUAUAUGGCCAAUCAGAGGAUCAAGUGUUUGCCAUGUUGGUUUGGAGAAUUUGCACACACUAAGAUGAUAGUGUGGUUCAUUAUUGGUGUAGAGGAUUGAGUAGCAGUGACUCAAUUUGCAACCUAUUUGACUGAACACGCACUAGAGAAUUUCAGAACAAAACUGUACAUUGGUCAUAUAGUGUUGACUGCUUGUAAACUGUCAAGAUUUUGACUGUAACGGUUAACAUAACCCAAUGAACCAUUCAUGCAGACAGUAUUAUCAUUACUUACAGCUUCUACAUUGUGAGUGACCAUUAAAUUAGGUAAAAAUAGUGGGUCAUAAUUUGCCAACACCUGAAGAGGCAUAAUUUUUGUUUUAAUUCCAUAAAUGUAGUGGUGGUAACGCAUAGACUUUUCUUUUUUUCAAAUUUUAAAUCCCUGUCCUGUGAGAUAUAUAAUUAUUGACAUCAAUUUCUUAUGUACUAGAAAAAAUAAAAUAAAGUUUUGCUGCAUCAGCCUGAAUUAUUAAAAAAGACCCCAAAUAU